rnacentral:rRNA from 1 species
CAAGUCGAGCGGAAAGGCCCCUUCGGGGGUACUCGAGCGGCGAACGGGUGAGUAACACGUGAGCAACCUGCCCCUGACUCUGGGAUAAGCCCGGGAAACUGGGUCUAAUACCGGAUAUAACCACUGGUCGCAUGGUCUGGUGGUGGAAAGUUUUUCGGUUGGGGAUGGGCUCGCGGCCUAUCAGCUUGUUGGUGGGGUGAUGGCCUACCAAGGCGACGACGGGUAACCGGCCUGAGAGGGCGACCGGUCACACUGGGACUGAGACACGGCCCAGACUCCUACGGGAGGCAGCAGUGGGGAAUAUUGCGCAAUGGGCGGAAGCCUGACGCAGCGACGCCGCGUGGGGGAUGACGGCCUUCGGGUUGUAAACCUCUUUCAGCAGGGACGAAGCGGAAGUGACGGUACCUGCAGAAGAAGCGCCGGCUAACUACGUGCCAGCAGCCGGGGGUAAUUCA